rnacentral:rRNA from 1 species
AGUGAACGCUGGCGGUAGGCCUAACACAUGCAAGUCGAACGGCAGCACAGUAAGAGCUUGCUCUUACGGGUGGCGAGUGGCGGACGGGUGAGGAAUACAUCGGAAUCUACUUUUUCGUGGGGGAUAACGUAGGGAAACUUACGCUAAUACCGCAUACGACCUACGGGUGAAAGCAGGGGAUCUUCGGACCUUGCGCGAUUGAAUGAGCCGAUGUCGGAUUAGCUAGUUGGCGGGGUAAAGGCCCACCAAGGCGACGAUCCGUAGCUGGUCUGAGAGGAUGAUCAGCCACACUGGAACUGAGACACGGUCCAGACUCCUACGGGAGGCAGCAGUGGGGAAUAUUGGACAAUGGGCGCAAGCCUGAUCCAGCCAUACCGCGUGGGUGAAGAGGGCCUUCGGGUUGUAAAGCCAUUUUGUUGGGAAAGAAAAGCAGCAGGUUAAUACCCCGCUGUUCUGACGGUACCCAAAGAAUAAGCACCGGCAAACUUCGU